CUUCCUGUUUUCACUUGCAGCUCGGCUUGGUGAGUGUCUGCGGGCUGCCUGCCUUGUGACGAGGAGCCUCACAUGGCAAUUAGAUGACAGCCUUGGAAGCAGAGCCCCGGACAGGUCAGGAAACAGAAUGAAGGCAACCGAAUGUCACCCUGGGGACAAUUGUCAGAUCUAAAAGAUAUACUGGAUGAUCCAAGAACUCCCAGCGUCCUUCAGAGGCAGAAGCUGCAUAUGCUGUAGGCAACCCUGGUAUGCAUCUGAGAUACAUCCCUUCUGCUGGUAUUGAGUUCCUGAAUCCCUGACUCUCUAUCACAAACUGCAAUGAACAACUUCGUGUGUGGUCCUGCAAAGCCUGAGACAAGAACUGGGGUGACAGUGGCUGACUUGGAAUGAUAUCCCAGGAAGAAGAUGAGGAAGAGAUCAGAGCCAAACAGGAGGCAAGUUAAGUGAACAAAAAUUGCAUGACUGAGCUUGUUGCCACUAGAUAAUUGGCUCAGUAACUCUGAAUACCUUCUGGACAAGUACAUAGAAAUCACCUCGAAUUGCUCUGCUGAAGUGUGGGGGUUUGGAACACUAGCAGCUUCAUCCAGGGCCAGUGGCAGGCAGCAUGAAGCAGAGCGUGCUGAUGUCAGAUCCAAAAAGCCAAAGAAGAGGCAGGGAAGGGGCUAGGAUUCCGCAGUCUCCUUCAAGGGCACACCCCCACUGACCUGAACACUUGGUCAGCCUCAAAAAAUAUAAAAAUAAGCAGGAGGCUACCAAAUAUUGUUUGAGCACUUACUAUAUGGCACGCACAUCAUGAAAUGUGAUUCAGUCACUGCCUUGUUUUAUUUUUCCAACAGCCUGGUGAGGUAAGAGCUAUCAUUGUGUCUAUUUUACAGAAGAGGAAAUGAGGGUGAGAAAAGAUAACUUAGUGGCUGAUGCACCUGGGGUUGAAAUGCAGGUGCCUGUCCUGGAGAGUUUCUUUUUGACUACUCCAGCACCAGUUGGGUUAAUUAGCCAUUAAUUGAUGAGUGAUUCUUGGAGAAGUGACUUCUCAGGUUUUGCCUUUUUCCCUGAAACAGGGUCACCCUGUGUAAUUCAGGCUGGUUUUGGGUUCAGUAUGUACUAUGUGACCUCAAACUCGCAGGGAUCCUCCUGUCUCAGCCUCCCAAGUGCUGGGAUUAUAGGCAUGAACCACGCUGGGGUCUCAACAGAUCACUAAAUUGCUCAGGCUGGGCUUGAACUUGAGGUCUUCCUUCCUUGGCCUCCCCCAGGGCUGGGAUUACAGGCAUGUGCCACAAUGCCCUGUAGGGACUUCAUUUCUUAUGCCCAAUUUUAAAUAGAAUAUCACACCUUGGCUGGUUUGUGGGAUUGUAUGUGUUUAGUUUUCUCGGUUCAUGGCAUAAACAUCAUGUGAUAUUUUUCUACAGAGCUCACCUUAAUGGAUUUCUCUCCUAUCAGCCCCCUGAUAAUUAAAAAUCUACGAUCAGAAGUCAGCUCACUGGAUAGCUCCUCAUGGUUAUUUGGAGAGGAUGCCUACUCAUCUUUCUUGGUCAUUUAUACCUUAGCAAGAGUGAAUUUAUGAUCCUUUCCAGCAGCAAGUUUUGAAAGAGGAGAUAGAGAAGAAACCUGAGUUUCUGUGCAAGAAUGUUCUUGGUAGUACUGUUUAUAACAGGCUUGAACUAUAAACAACUAUCAAGAAUAGACCACAAAAACACAUUGUAGCAUUUAUGUACGAUGGAAUACAAUACAGCAGUGAAAAUGAGUGACCUACAGCAAUCCCUAUGAAUUGUUUGACUCUGGCAAGUACAAUGUUGAAGGAAAGAAGCACAAUACAAAAUAAUGUGUACAGUCAGAAUCCACAGAGAUAUAUUACAAACAGGAAGAAAAGUCCCAACCCUAUUUCACUCCUUUGAAUGAGCCUCAAGAAGACACACUAAGUAGCCUGAGACAAAAUUCCUCUAGGUCUGGCUGUGGUGUCAACUCUAAGGUUCUUUCCUGCGAGUUUAUCUUUUCCACUGGAUGAAAUUAUGGGGAGGGGCUCGGAACAAAUGUGUUCCUUUUGGAAGAAUUUCCCUUUGUCAGUUUAAGGGACUGCGGAGAAAGCCCCUCCCUGUGCCAGGAAAGAAAGGCAGGUGAGAGACAGCCUGUGGGAGAAGAAGGUCUGUGAGCCCUUGGCUCUGAGAUUGCUUUUCCAGUUCUCAGCACUCGGUGCAUCAAAGCACCGCGCUCUGGAGCACCGUUUUCUGAAUCCCAAUGCAAGCGAGGCUGCUCUGAGAAUGACGUAAAGCCUGCUUUUUCUUCCCUCGAAAGAAGGACUUUCUUCCUUUAGCAGAGGAAAGGGAGUUUGGGCAGUAUAUCAACCACAUAAACAAUGCCCGUACUUCAGGGCCAGAGAGAAUAAAACGGAAGAGGACCUAGAGGUCCUUCUGAAGCCCUUGUUACUAGCCUAGAUUUUAAAUCUAGACCAGGUGCUUCCUAAAAAAAACGUGAGGACGGUCGUGCCUGGGCAGAUGGAGAAGUUCCUGCCUCACCAGGGGACAGGCACGUUGUCUGUACCAGCUGUGAAACCAUCAUACAGAGUGUUGCUGCUAAUGGGUGGGAGGUGUUCAGCAACCCUCCCUAAAAUACCUAUCAAGACACGGCAUUGGCUUCUGGCGGGCAGCAAGGGGUAAUUAGUGGUAGAUAGACUAUACUUCUAUGCUAUUUCUCUCUCUGAGAAGGCUUCUUAGUGAAGAGGCAGAGGCUGAAUUUGCAGUCAAUUUAAAUAACUAAUUUUCACAUGGGACAGGAACAACAGUCUUUGAAGUACUGUGUAAUCAGCCUCCCCACUGUCCCUCUCUUCCCCAGCUCCACCUCUCUGGGAAACUUACUGAGACCUGUGACGCCACACAGGUGGCAGGCAGAAGUGGAAGAGGGUCCCCGGAACAAUGGGAAAACUAAGAAAAGACUUGCACAACGGUCUUAAGAUGGAACUCUGGGGCAGAGAACCUGAUGUGUGCUGGAUUCGGAGGUUGCUGUGAUCCAGGCUCAAGCAAUUCUCCAGCCUCAGCCGCUGAUAGGGUGACAAGUGCUCACCACCACACCUGGCUCUACUGAUAUUUGGAGGAAAAAAAAUGAGUAGUAUUUGGUUAGUUUUAAUAGUUGAAGGCUUUUGUGGGGGGGGGAUGGGGCACGGGGGUACGGUGAUUGACCUCAGGGCCUUUGCAGUGGGCUACAUCCCUAGCACUUUUUGGGGGGAGGGACAGGGUCGUACUAUGUAGCUAAGUUGCCCAAGCUGACAUCGAACUUGUGAUAUUCCACCUCAGCCUUCCAGAGUGGUGGGAUUAUGUGCCACCAAGCCCUGCUAUGUGAGGACAGCUUAAAAAUCAGUACUUUAGUUUAACUAAAUAAAAGUACCUAAACUUUAGUCUUAUUUUAAAAGAUAAACUUGUGUUUAGUCAACUUUAAUAUGCAUUCCAAUCUGAUGUUUGUAUGGAUUCACAUGCACACUUACUAUGAAGCAAGUAUAGCACAGGGAAACUCAUGAGAAAGACACAGCCCCACCUGGCCCCAGUAAAGGAGAUCCUUCCAGUGUGUAAGAAUGAUCCGUGUACGAUGUGAAGAGAGGAAAAGGAAACAUUUCUUUAUUCUGCUUCAACCUCACUGACUGCAUUGACAUUCACCUCUGGUGCUAACAUCCAGGGGAAGCACACAAGUUAAAGGCUUAGUCCUCCACAAAGCUGUUCAAAGGGCCCCGGGGCCACUUGCACUUCUAACUGGCUGGCUGUAGGUUUGGAGGAUCUCAUGAUCCUUUCAGGAUUGAUAAUAUGUUAGAAUGAUAUAAAAUUCAAGAAAGCACUAUAAACUGGGGAUGAUGGUGCAUUCCUGUAAUCCCAGGAGUCGGGAGGCUGAAGUGGAUCACCAUGAGUUCGAGGCCAACCUCGGCUAUGUAGUGAGUUCAAAGCUAGCCUGAACUACAUAGUGAGACUGUGCCUCAAAAAAAGAGAAAAAAGGGAAAGCAUAAUACUUAAGACUAUAGUUCUAUGAUAAAUUAUACAAACCAGGAACAGCCCAAUAAAGAAAUACUAGGAAAAGCCUAGGAAGAUCCAAAUACAGAGCUUUCAUCCUCUCUCCCUAUGAAUCUGGACAUGUCACCCUCCUGGCACAUUCAAGUAUUAAACAACCAGGAAACUACACUGAGCUUCAGUGUCCAGAGUUGUUACUGGAGUUUUAUUGGUGAGGCAUGAUAGAUAUGAGCAUUUGACCUGAUUUCGCUCAUUCUCCAAUCCAGCCCACGUCCCAUUGAGAUCAUGGUAGCUCCAAGUACGAACCCUCUAAGAACAGGGCUAAUUUUUCUGAUGAUUAACCUCCCAUCCCAGGUCCUCUUGUCUCCUCAGUAUAAACUCAGUUCUGAUCCAAGCAACUCAUGAAUAAAACACACUUCUGUUACUUGGGACAUUCCAAAGAUUUCAAUUCUCCUUCCCAGGAACCAAGGACAAAGGCCAAGUUCUUUAUUAUACGAUACAAUUUUUCUUUAAAAAUAGUGCCAUGUGCAAUCCAGGGAUGCUUCUUUUUGAUCUUCUUGUCUUGUCCUUCUCCUUCUCCUCCUUCUUUGCCUUCAUCUUUGUUUUCAUCUUCACCUUCUUCUUUUUCUUCUGGGUUUUUUGAGACAGGAUCAAGCUGGGAACUCACUAUGUAGCUCAAACUGGCCUCAAACUCUAGGUUAUCCUCCUGUGUCAGCCUCCCAAAUGCUAGGAUUAUAGACAUGCACCACCAUAUUCAGCUCGGGGAAUGUUUUUAUAACUGCUAUGUAGCAUUGAUUUAAUGCAGUGUGCAGUAAAGUUUUAUGAUCUCUUUACAAUAAAAUAUAACAACUUGAAA